rnacentral:rRNA from 1 species
AUUGAACGCUGGCGGCAUGCCUUACACAUGCAAGUCGAACGGCAGCAUGAUCUAGCUUGCUCGAUUGAUGGCGAGUGGCGAACGGGUGAGUAAUACAUCGGAACGUGCCCUGUAGUGGGGGAUAACUAGUCGAAAGAUUAGCUAAUACCGCAUACGACCUGAGGGUGAAAGUGGGGGACCGCAAGGCCUCAUGCUAUAGGAGCGGCCGAUGUCUGAUUAGCUAGUUGGUGAGGUAAAGGCUCACCAAGGCGACGAUCAGUAGCUGGUCUGAGAGGACGAUCAGCCACACUGGGACUGAGACACGGCCCAGACUCCUACGGGAGGCAGCAGUGGGGAAUUUUGGACAAUGGGCGAAAGCCUGAUCCAGCAAUGCCGCGUGUGUGAAGAAGGCCUUCGGGUUGUAAAGCACUUUUGUCCGGAAAGAAAUGGCUCUGGUUAAUACCUGGAGUCGAUGACGGUACCGGAAGAAUAAGGACCGGCUAACUACGUG